GCGCUGGGCUUUCAGGCAGCACAGAGUUUUGAGAGCACCGGUGGGGAAUCGAUGGAAACGGCGUUUGUGGAGGACCUUCAUCUUGAAGCUGCCAGUUCUGCUGCGUCUGGAUUUGUGAGCUGCAAAGAUGAGCAAAAAAAAGCCCCAUGGAGCUGCGCUGCCUGCUGAGGCCUCACCCUGCAGUGCCAGGACCCCACAUUCUGCCCCUGGGGCUCUGCAGGGAACCCAUCUCUCCUUGCCCCAAGCUAUGAGGUGGCCCCCACGUGCUCUCACUGGGACAGGAGCUGUGAGGUUCUGUAGCUGCUGAGCAUGAACUUUACACGUUCCCGUUGCCCUCUGCCUGUGUGGCCUUAUUACAGAGGCGUGCUGUAGAUUUACUUCAAAUACAUGCAACAGGGUGACAGAUCAGCCUCGAGCUGCCUUCAGUGCAGGUUUUAGCAGUGGGUUUAUCACCUUAAUCCUUUUCCUGGGCUUCCCCCCCCCCCCCUUCCCCAAGCUUAGUACAGGACCUGCUUCCUUGCUUGGGGUCGAGCCGAUCAGACAGCACAGGAGCCUCAAAUUCCCCCGGUUUAUCGCUAAUGCCCUACAGCAAGGGAGAGCUUCAGCUCUUCACUCUCACCUGGUGUCCUUCAGAGGAGAUUUUCUGCACACAAAUGGGAGAGCAGCUGUUCUGCUGGGUUCCCUGUGCCUGGCUGUGGUACAGGGUCAGAAGCAGCCUUGUAUGGAUGGGGGGUCAGCAGCAACCCUGAAACACGGCUGCCUUCGAGCAGUUGGAGUUGUUUUCCAUCUUGCUUUGAGGAGCUCAGAGUCUGGCUUUAAGAUCAGCUAAUAAGUUCCUAUCAGGAUGUGCACGUGUUGUGAGCUUGUUGGAGUUCUUGAGGUCAUCUUUUUUCUUCCCUUUUAAAAUCAAAUUAUCGGAACAAACGACGGCGCUGCUUUCCUUGUUAAUGGGGGGAGGCUCUGCAGGGAGGUCAGGGGGGAUUCCUUUGCAGCACACGGGGUCUUUUGUUGCACGGUUUGACUUUUCUGUGUGUCUGUAAAGCUCAUCACAGAUUAUUGGUUUUAUCUGAUGAAAGAAGAGGAAAAAGCUGCAGUGUGGCACAGGAGUGCAGGUGAUCGGGGUUAGCGCAUUGAUCAGGGUUAGCGCACUGAUCAGUUAGCACACCUCUGAGAAUCACUGAGCUGUUAAGGUUGGGAAGGAGUGCUCAGAUUCCCAACCCACCACCUGUGGACACAUCCCUCAGAGCCACAUCAGCGCCACGGAGGUGCUCUUCCUACCAAGCAGACCCUUUGGAGCCAACAGGCAUGGCAAAUGGCAACACAAUCAGAUCCUCGCAUUUAAAAUUGUUCUCCUGCAGAUAAACAUAAGGAAAGCAAACCUUGAGUGUUUAAUGGGACGUGCCUAAGAGGAGAGCUGUGAAGCUCUGCAGAUCCCCUUUGUUUGCGUUGUUUGGUUCCUGUCAUUACAGACACGUGUGAGAUGAGAAGCGCAAACUCCGGAGGUAGAGCAGUGCAGAAGCUGUGUUGGAAACCUCAUGCGGGCUUUAUAAAACCCUUUCUAAUCUUGGAUUGAUGGAUGUCGAUGGGAGUUUUCCAUUCGGUGGAUGUUGGACCGGCCCCAGGGCGCAGCGCAGCAGCCGUCCCUGCAGGGAAUGCAGUCACACCCCGUGAGGUGAUGCUCUUGGACAAGAGGAGCUGUGUUCCUGGGCUGAGUAAAACAGAGGUAGGCAGCUGUGAGCCCCCAAUGCAGCGAGAGGUCGGAGAAGGCUCCGGGCAAAGAGCCGCUGUCCCACUGCUGGAUGGAGGGCACCUCCAAGGACAU
ensembl:lncRNA